rnacentral:rRNA from 1 species
CCUACGGGAGGCAGCAGUGGGGGAUAUUGCACAAUGGGGGGAACCCUGAUGCAGCGACGCCGCGUGGGUGAAGAAGCGCCUCGGCGCGUAAAGCCCUGUCAGCAGGGAAGAAAAUGACGGUACCUGAAGAAGAAGCCCCGGCUAACUACGUGCCAGCAGCCGCGGUAAUACGUAGGGGGCAAGCGUUAUCCGGAUUUACUGGGUGUAACGGGGGCGCAGACGGCGAUGCAAGCCAGGAGUGAAAGCCCGGGGCCCAACCCCGGGACUGCUCUUGGAACUGGGUGGCUGGAGUGCAGGAGGGGCAGGCGGAAUGCCUGGUGUAGCGGUGAAAUGCGUAGAUAUCAGGAGGAACACCGGUGGCGAAGGCGGCCUGCUGGACUGCAACUGACGUUGAGGCCCGAAAGCGUGGGGAGCAAACAGGAGUAGAUACCCGUGUAGUC